CAGGCCUAACACAUGCAAGUCGAGCGAACAGAGAAGGAGCUUGCUCCUUUGACGUUAGCGGCGGACGGGUGAGUAACACGUGGGCAACCUACCUUAUAGUUUGGGAUAACUCCGGGAAACCGGGGCUAAUACCGAAUAAUCUAUUUUACUUCAUGGUGAAAUACUGAAAGACGGUUUCGGCUGUCGCUAUAAGAUGGGCCCGCGGCGCAUUAGCUAGUUGGUGAGGUAACGGCUCACCAAGGCGACGAUGCGUAGCCGACCUGAGAGGGUGAUCGGCCACACUGGGACUGAGACACGGCCCAGACUCCUACGGGAGGCAGCAGUAGGGAAUCUUCCACAAUGGGCGAAAGCCUGAUGCCAGCAACGCCGCGUGAGUGAAGAAGGUUUUCGGAUCGUAAAACUCUGUUGUAAGGGAAGAACA
rnacentral:rRNA from 1 species